CGCACAUUGCGCCCGCCAGUAUUCUGGCGGGCAUGCCUGUUUGAGUAUCAUGAAAUCUUCAAAAUAAAUCUUUUGUUCACUCAAAUUGAUUUUAUUUUGGACUUGGAGGCUUGCAGAUUCACGUCUGCUCCUCUUAAAUUUAUUAGCUGGAUCUCGGUGAGCUCGGUUCCACUCGGCGUGAUAAGUAUCACUCGCCGAGGACACUGUAAAAGGUGGCCGGGAUUGCGGAUGAACCGCUUCUAAUAGUCCAUUGACUUGGACAAUAAAUACUUUAUGAUCUGAUCUCAAAUCAGGUAGGACUACCCGCUGAACUUAA
rnacentral:rRNA from 1 species